rnacentral:rRNA from 1 species
AUGGAGCAAUUGGAGAAGAGGAUGGAUGCUGCUGAACAACAAAUCAAAGAGCUGCGUGAAGAUCUUAAUAGGAGAUUUGACCAGCUGGUUGAGAUGAUAAGAAAGGGUGUCCCCCCUGCUACCAAUGAAGGAGAUUCAUCUAAAGAAGAGGAAGAUGUUCAUCAAGGAAGAAGGAGAGGUAAUCUUGGAGCAAGACCGCCACGACAACAUGUUGUUCAACGUGCUUCAAGAAGGCCAAUUUAUGUUGAGGCUUCUGAAGGUGAAGAAUAUGAUGAUGCCCUUGAAGAGCCAAAUCUCUACGCAUAUCGGAGAGCACCCAACCCUACAUAUGCAAGAGAUACAUACAAGGUGAAAGCUGAGAUCCCAAGUUUUAAUGGAAAUGUUGACAUUGAAGGGUGCCUGGAUUGGUUAUAUGAAGUGGAGACUUUCUUUGAGGUCAUGGAGGUUCCGGAAGAUCGUAGAGUUCCUUUGGUCGCAUACAAACUGAAAGAAGGAGCCGGUGCAUGGUGGCAUCGCGUUCAAGAGGAGCGCAGGCUGAGAGGAGAACCUCGUGUUAGAACUUGGCGACAAAUGAAAGGCCUCUUGAAAGGGAGAUUUUUGCCCACUAAUUAUGACCAGAUCCUAUUUAUCCAAUUUCAAAAUUGUGCUCAAGGAAAUAGGACUGUUUCAGAUUACACGGAGGAGUUUCUAAGGCUACAAGUGAGGUGCAACCUUGCUGAAACUGAAGAGCAACAAGUUGCAAGGUACAUCAAUGGUCUCAAUGAUGCUAUUCAAGAUCGAUUGAUGAUGCAACAAAUCUGGUCCGUUGAUCAAGCACAAGCUCUAGCCUUAAAGGCCGAGAGGUUUGUGAGGAUGAGAAAGACAACUAAGGCUCCAUAUCCUCCAUAUCCUCAUACCGAAGGCUCAUCUAGGAGCCAACCUAAUAGAGUGGAAGAAAAGACCACUCCACCAAAGACAAAACAGCCCAUCUCGAAGCAAACUAGAGGCAAGGGUAAGGCAAAUGAAGGCCCAAAGUGCUAUAAAUGUGGUAAAGAGGGACACAUAUCCAGCGGCUGCCCACUAAGGAAAUUUGUUAACACGACUAUCCAUGAUGGUGAAAGCGAUGAGGAAGAAUACGAAUCUGAAGAUGUAGACGGACAAGAGGUUUGUCAAGAAGAAGGUGAAGAGGUGGUAUGUGUGAUCCAGCGUGUCCUAUGUUCCACACCACAACUCGAUGACACACAACGGAAGAAAAUAUUUGAGAGCAAAUGCACGAUGAAUGGCAAGGUAUGCAAACUAGUGAUUGAUAGUUGCAGCUGCGAGAAUCUUAUCUCCCAGAAGUUGGUGGACCAUUUAAAGCUUGAAACCCAUGAUCAUCCAAAUCCCUACACUAUUGGAUGGAUCAAGAAAGGAGUGAAUAUGAGGAUCACCAAACAAUGCAACCUGCCACUUUCUUUGGGUAAGCAUUAUCGCUCAAAUGUGUUGUGUGAUGUGGUUGACAUGGAUGCCAGCCAUGUUCUUCUUGGGAGGCCUUGGCAAUUUGAUGUGGAUACUACACACAAGGGCAAGGAAAAUUCUUACUCUUUCGUUUGGAACAAAAGAAGGAUCAUUAUCUUACCAAACAAACCCGAAGGUAAUACCUCUAAGGAGGAGGGGAAAACUAUGUUAACUAUCUCCCAUACCUCUCAUGAGUUUAUGGAAGACUUGAAGGAGGCAGAUUUGUGUGCUGCACUUGUUGUAAAGGGAGAAGAGCACCUGACUGUUGAAAUUCCAGCAAAGGUACGUGGUUUAUUGGCAGAAUUUCAGAACAUACUUGGGGAGCCACAUGGCUUGCCACCGAUGAGAGGAAUUCAACAUAGAAUUGACUUAAUUCCGGGAGCAAGUCUUCCUAAUCUUCCACACUAUCGAAUGAGCCCAAAGGAGCAUGGUAUAUUGAAGGAGAAAGUGGAGGAAUUGUUGCAAAAGGGGCACAUUCGAGAAAGUAUUAGCCCAUGUGCUGUACCAGCCCUACUCGCGCCAAAGAAAGAUGGAUCUUGGCGCAUGUGUACGGACAGUAGAGCCGUUAACAAGAUCACCGUAAGGUAUAGAUUCCCUAUUCCCCGUCUGGAUGAUAUGUUGGAUCAGCUUAGUGGAGCAAGAGUGUUCACAAAGCUAGAUUUAAGAAGUGGAUAUCAUCAAAUCCGUAUAAGACCCGGGGAUGAAUGGAAGACCGCCUUCAAGACAAAGGAAGGGUUGUUUGAAUGGCUAGUCAUGCCAUUUGGACUCUCAAAUGCACCAAGUACCUUUAUGCACUUAAUGAAUCAAGUCCUUAGACCCUUCUUAUCCCACUUUGUUGUGGUCUAUUUCGAUGACAUCUUGAUCUAUAGCAAGGAUGAGGAUGAACACUUUGAUCACAUUCGGAAGGUGCUAGAAGUACUAAGGGAAAAUGAGCUCUACGUCAACUUGAAGAAAUGUGUUUUCCUGCAAACACAACUUCUUUUCCUAGGAUUCGUCAUAACAUGUGACGGCAUUCGUGUUGAUGAUUCUAAGGUUGAAGCAAUCCAAGAAUGGCCAACUCCUAAGACCAUUUCUGAGGUAAGAAGCUUUCAUGGCCUUGCAACUUUCUAUAGGCGAUUUGUUAAGAAUUUCAGCACUAUCAUGGCACCAAUUACCGAGUGUUUGAAGAAAGGAAAGUUCCAAUGGGCAGAAGCAGCUGAAGCUAGCUUCAAUGAGAUUAAACAAAAGCUAUCACAAGCUCCUGUCUUGGUACUACCUGAUUUCAACAAGACUUUUGAGUUGGAGUGUGAUGCAAGUGGAGUAGGCAUUGGAGCUGUCCUAUCUCAAAAAAUGAAGCCCAUUGCUUUCUUUAGUGAGAAGUUAAGUGAAGCUAGACAGAAAUGGAGUACCCAUCAGCAAGAAUUAUACGCCGUUUUCAGAGCGUUGAAAACUUGGGAAGUCUAUUUGCUGCCUAAAGAGUUCAUUGUUUAUAGCGACCAUCAAUCCUUGAAGCAUUUUAGAAAUCAAAAGCAUGUUGACCGCAUGCUAGCAAGAUGGGCAGCAUAUCUUGAGAGGUUUAACUAUCUCAUCGUGCAUAAAUCUGGAAUAACUAACAGAGUGGCCGAUGCUUUGAGUCGUCGUGCAUGCCUCUUGACUUCUUUUGAAGCCGAACUUCCGGGCAUGGGUCAAAUAAAGGAGUUGUAUGAGGGUGACGAAGACUUUGGCCAUGUUUGGGUAAAGCACGCAAGGGGCCAACCAUUAGGUGAUGACUAUUUGAUGCAAGAUGGAUAUCUCUUCAAAAAUGAUCGUUUGUGCAUUCCAAGAAGUUCUCUACGUGACAAGCUGGUUAGAGAGCUCCAUUCAAGUGAUCUUAGUGGCCAUGUUGGACGGGACAAGACUAUCGCUAACCUGGAAGCUCGCUACUUUUGGCCACAACUAAAGAGAGAUGCUGGAAAGUUCGUUCAACGGUGCCCCGUAUGUCAGACCUGCAAAGGCCAAGUCCAGAACACAGGGUUAUACAUGCCUUUGCCUGUUCCUGUUGCUCCAUGGGAGGACAUUUCUAUGGACUUCGUCUUGGGCUUGCCAAGAACAAGACGAGGAAGUGAUGCUGUAUUUGUGGUCGUGGAUAGAUUCUCUAAGAUGGCUCAUUUCAUCCCAUGCCGCAAGACAACCUAUUCUUUCGAGAAGUGGUCAGACUUCAUGGAGUUCCAAGGUCCAUUGUCCCAGACCGUGAUAGCAAGUUUCUUGCUGCAUCUUGGCUCACUUUGUGGAAGCAAUUCAACACUGAAUUGA